rnacentral:piRNA from 1 species
UCCAGUGCUUCUAGCUUAAUUCAUAGCUCCUU